CGAGCGUCAUUACAACCCUCAAGCACCGCUUGGUAUUGGAUGUGACCUGCUAUCUGGUGCAUCUUAAAAAUAUUAGCGGUAGCACUCAGCUUCUAGCGUAGUACAUUUCUCGCUAUGGAGCUGCUGCUGCGCACCUGCUAGAAUCCUAAAUUUAUCAAAAGGUUGACCUCGGAUCAGGUAGGGAUACCCGCUGAACUUAA
rnacentral:misc_RNA from 1 species